UACAGGGGGUGCGAGCGUUAAUCGGAAUUACUGGGCGUAAAGGGCGCGCAGGCGGUCCUUCAAGUCAGAUGUGAAAGCCCCGGGCUCAACCUGGGAACUGCAUUUGAGACUGGAGGACUUGAGGACGGGAGAGGAGAGUGGAAUUCCCAGUGUAGAGGUGAAAUUCGUAGAUAUGCGGAGGAACACCGAUGGCGAAGGCAAUCCCCUGGGCCUGCACUGACGCUCAUGCACGAAAGCGUGGGGAGCAAACAGG
rnacentral:rRNA from 1 species